rnacentral:lncRNA from 1 species
GGAGGAGAUGAUAAGGAAAGGGACAUUCAGAGAUCAAGAUUUUUUGGAAUCAGAGAGCUAGCUUCAAGCUCCUUCGAAAGGUAUAUAAUUAGAUUCAUAGGAUUUGGGAGGACUUUUGCAAUCAUUGCUCAAAGUUAGUGUUUGUAUUGGUGAAUUGGAUUUUUUGUAAUAAAAUAAUUGCUAGUACUCUUAACUGUUUUGUGAAAUUAGAGAAACUUUUGCGGUUGAAAUUUAGAGGUAUCUAGAGGGUUGAGUAUGUCGAGUGCAUGCAAAAAUUUAUAUUAAUCUGACGAAACAGAUAGAGGAUAUUUAACCAUUAGUGUAAAGAGGUAUCAAAAGUUAGCAGAUUGGGGUUGUUUAGGAUUUUUGUAAUAUCUGGAGAUCUACCAACUGGAAUAAGGUGACUUUUGGCAUGGUAAGUCGAGGGCUUUUAGGUGGCAGUCAAGAUACAUCAGUGUGGAUUAAUGACAUUUUCUUGCAACUUUUAAGUUUAACUGGAUUGAAACUUCUUGAGCAUUUAGAAGGCUUGCAAAGACACUAGUGGUAGAAAUUUACAACAAUCGGACGAUCAGAUUGAGAAUUACAGCUUGUUGAAGCUCGCUUUGUAGAUUUAGGAUUUAAAAUAAAAUAAAAAUAAAAUAAAAAAUAAAAACUAAUAAAUAAUAA